CUUGGUUGAUCCUGCCAAGGAAGCACACUUAGGUCAUAGAUUAAGCCAUGCAAGUGUUAGUUCAGGCAACGAAACUGCGAAUAGCUCAUUAAUACGCUCAGAACCUAUUUGACGGCAACCAGUAAUGGUUUUACAUGGAUAGCAGGGGUAACUCUCGUGCUAAUACAUGCGAUUGUUUCUUCGGAAGGGAAGUACGAAGGAAAAGUUGACCGUAAGGUACGUCAUUCGGUUGAGCGACCUAUCAGCUUGUACUUAGGAUCUUUACCUAGGUAGGCUAUCACGGGUAACGGGCGGUUACCGUCGGACUGCCGGAGAAGGCGCCUGAGAGAUAGCGACUAUAUCCACGGGUAGCAGCAGGCGCGAAACUUACCCACUCGAAACUCUCGGAGGUGGUAAUGACCAGUUUCAGAAUUAGGCUUAUGUCUAUUUUGAAUAGGGAUUCGCUUUUCCAGCGAUUCGCAAUCUAGCAGAGGGCCAGUCUGGUGCCAGCAGCUGCGGUAAUUCCAGCUCUGCAAGUUUGCUCCCAUAUUGUUGCAGUUAAAACGCCCGUAGUCUGAAUUUUCUCGAAAGAGAAGUAUUCCGUAAGGAGUUCACUGUGAACAAAACAGGACGCUUAGAGUAAGGUUUACUUGAAUGAUUUAGCACAGUAUGAAAUAUUUACCUAUUGGUAAGAUCAAUGAGAGCCAUCGGGGAUAAAUCUAUUACAUGGCGAGCGGUGGAAUGCUUUGACCCAUGUGAGAGAAACGAAAGCGAAGGCAUUUAUCUAGAGGGUUUCUGUCGAUCAAGGGCGAGAGUAGGAGUAUCCAACCGGAUUAGAGACCCGGGUAGUUCCUACUAUAAACGAUGCCGACAGGGGCUAGUUAUUUUAUAAUAGCUGGACCUUAGGAGAAAUCAUAGUUCUUGGGCUCUGGGGGAACUACGACCGCAAGGCUGAAACUUGAAGGAAUUGACGGAAGGGCACACCAGGGGUGGAGCCUGUGGCUUAAUUUGAAUCAACACGGGGAAACUUACCAGGACCAGAUGUUUUUUAUGACUGACAGGCUUCGGGUCUUUCAGGAUUGAGCUUUUGGUGGUGCAUGGCCGUUGGUGGUGCGUGGGUUGACCUGUCUAGCGUCGAUUCAGCUAACGAGCGAGAUUAUCGCCAAUUACUUAGAAUUAAUUAGUUGUAAUUAAUUCGUCUAAUUGGGUCGCCCUGCGAUAAAGCAGGCGGAAGAGGGUAGCAAUAACAGGU
rnacentral:rRNA from 1 species